CGCAGGCGGCAUACCAAGUAUUCAGUGAAAUCUCCCUGCUCAACGGGGAGGGUGCUGAGUAGACUGGUAAGCUAGAGGACGGUAGAGGGGGGUAGAAUUGCUGGUGUAGCGGUGAAAUGCGUAGAGAUCAGCAGGAAUACCCGUGGCGAAGGCGGCCCCCUGGGCCGUUUCUGACGCUGAGGCGCGAAGGCUAGGGGAGCGAACGGGAUUAGAUACCCCGGUAGUCCUAGCAGUAAACGAUGGCCACUAGGUGUGAGGGGUGUUGACCCCCCUUGUGCCGAAGCUAACGCAUUAAGUGGCCCGCCUGGGGAGUACGGUCGCAAGACUAAAACUCAAAGGAAUUGACGGGGACCCGCACAAGCAGCGGAGCGUGUGGUUUAAUUCGAUGCGACGCGAAGAACCUUACCUGGGCUUGACAUGUAUUCGCAACCCUGUGAAAGCAGGGCCUCCUUCGGGACGGAUACACAGAUGUUGCAUGGCUGUCGUCAGCUCGUGUCGUGAGAUGUUGGGUUAAGUCCCGCAACGAGCGCAACCCUUGUUUCUAGUUGAAUAUCUAGAGAGACUGCCGCACACAAAGCGGAGGAAGGUGGGGAUGACGUCAAGUCAGCAUGACUCUUACGUCCAGGGCUACACACACGCUACAAUGGCAGUUACAAUGAGAAGCCAGCCCGCGAGGGUGAGCAGACCUCAUAAAGGCUGCCUCAGUUCAGAUUGCACUCUGCAACUCGAGUGCAUGAAGUUGGAGUUGCUAGUAACCGCGUGUCAGCAUAGCGCGG
rnacentral:rRNA from 1 species